rnacentral:lncRNA from 10 species
ACUGUGUGCCAGCAAUGUACUCCUUGCUAGGAUGAAUCACGACCCUGUUCUCAGGAAGUUCAUUAAUUUCAUCAGGUGAUUGUGGAAAAAUACAGAUACUUUUUCCGUUUUUAGUGGGUUUAAAUGGAAUUCUGACCCUAAAUGAAAUGUAGGCAGAUCAGUUUAAUUUAGAUACAUUACUUCCAUCAUUUGUGAAGACUGCCUCAUUUCAGAUUUUCCUUUCUUCUUUCUUCCUUCUCUCCUUCCCUCAUUUCCUCUUUCUCUCUUUCCUUGAAUAAUUUUUAAGAGAAUUAACCCGUUGUUCUGGCUUCUUGUCAUUAAGCAUUUAAAUGAGCACUGAAAAACUGAGCCAGAUUUAUGUCCAACGUAUGGCAACACAAUAUAACUUAAUUUAUGGCAUAAUAACUAAAAUCUAUCACUCUCCCUAAAAGUUAGUAAGAUAAAGGGGAAAAUAAUUUCAAGUAGUAAACUCUGAAUUCUUCUAUAUUCCUUGCUUUCUUGCUCCCCGACAAAACCCAAAGUCCCUUCAUUUUCCCCUAAAUUCACAGCCUCUUAAUUUUGCAUGCUUGAGUAUGAAGACUUUGGCUUAUUUUCAUGACCAACAAUCAAUCUCACUGAUUGUCUUUGGAUGAGCUCUAAUGGUACACUAAAUUUUCAUAUUAUACAUCUAAGAUAUUAAAUGGUUAACAAAAAGAAACUUGACAAAAUGAAACACAAAGCUGCUUUUGUUAGA